rnacentral:ncRNA from 1 species
UCUAUCAGCUAUUGGCUUUAAAUUUGCAGAACUAAAAACUGCAUAAGUGAUAGGAUACCCAUAGAAAGAGAAAGGCUGUUUUUUUCUAAGGUUUUUUAAAUCUCCCUUAUAAUUAAUUUUUGAGAGAAAUUUUAAGAGUUAAUUUAAGGAAAAAGAUUAAAAAAUUUUUGCAAGGUAUAAAAAGUUAAAAAAUUUAGACAUUAAAGAUUAAAGAACAGCCCUUUAAUCUUUUUU